rnacentral:rRNA from 1 species
UGUUCCCGGGCCUUGUACACACCGCCCGUCACACCACGAAAGUUGGCAAUACCCGAAGCCGGUGGCCUAACCCGCAAGGGGGGGAGCCGUCGAAGGUAGGGUCGAUGAUUGGGGUG